AACGAACGCUGGCGGCGCGCCUAAUACAUGCAAGUCGAGCGAGAAGACGUAGCAAUACGUUUGUAAAGCGGCGAACGGGUGAGGAAUACAUGGGUAACCUACCCUCGAGUGGGGAAGUAACUAGCCGAAAGGUUAGCUAAUACCGCGUACGCUCCUUGGACUUCGGUUCAGGGAGGAAAGCGAUACCGUGGGUAUCGCGCUCUUGGAUGGGCUCAUGUCCUAUCAGCUUGUUGGUGAGGAACGGCUCACCAAGGCUUCGACGGGUAGCUGGUCUGAGAGGACGAUCAGCCACACUGGCACUGCGACACGGGCCAGACUCCUACGGGAGGCAGCAGUAAGGAAUAUUGCGCAAUGGGCGAAAGCCUGACGCAGCGACGCCGCGUGGGGGAUGAAGGUCUUCGGAUUGUAAACCCCUUUCGGGNGGGAGGAUGGAACGAGCAAUCGUUCGGCGGUACCUCCAGAAGCAGCCACGGCUAACUUCGUGCCAGCCGCCGCCGUAAU
rnacentral:rRNA from 1 species